UCCUGCAGCUCACACUAGGUAAUCAAUGUGAAGCUGAGCUGGUUUAGACCUGCCCAGGACUUGGAUGUGAGACCAACUAGGAAAGCUGGGUUGCUGCUGGAA
rnacentral:rRNA from 1 species